AUGGAGAGGAUGGAGGGGAUGUUGCGGAAUCUCAAGUUGUCGGAGGCAGAAAAGAAGGUGGUUAGGGUGGCAAGGUCGGAUGUAGGGUCAAUGAUUUUUGCAGAUCCACAGGUUGUGGGGAGGUUGAUGUCUGAGAAGCUAGGGUCAGCGGAUGUGUUGGCAAAUUCUUUGGGGAGGGCCUGGUGUCCCAGCAGAGGUAUAAGCUGUAAGGAUUUGGGAGAUAAUACGUUCUUGUUCACUUUUCUGCAGGCCUUGGGCAAAAGGAAAGCUUUAGAAGAGGGGCCUUGGAUGUUUGAUCAUGAUCUAUUGGUAAUGAUAGAGUUCGAUCCAACAAAAACAAUUGAUGAGAUGGAGUUCAAGACUAUCCCCAUCUGGAUUAGGGUGUUUGGCCUUCUGGUUGGUCUGAUGGUGAGAAGGACGGGAGAAGCAAUUGGGAAUCAGGUGGGAGAAUUUUUGGAGAUGGAUACUGAAGAUGAUGGUUCUGCAGCAGGCAAGUUCAUUAGGGUGAAGGUUCGAAUCGAUAUUCAUGAGCCAAUUAUGAGGGGCAUCUUUGUACCAGUGGUGGGUAUAGACAAGAAGGAAAAAAGAAAAGUGGGUUGA
rnacentral:rRNA from 1 species